AGGUGGUGGAAGAGUUUCUGUUGAAGUUUUUAGCAGGCAUGACGACUCAGAGUUCUUUGUUCAUGGAGGGAGAAGUUUUGGCUGUCCCACAAAUGCAGGUGCUGCAGGGACAUUCUAUGAUGCUGUUCCUCGAAGACUCAUUGUUAGCAAUCACAACUUGUCAACAGAUACUGAUACGCUUCUCUUCGAGUUUCCUAAUCACCCUCUCUGGACAAACAUUAUAUUCAAGAUCAUGCACGAGCUACUGUUCCUCUACUUUGGAGUCGUCUACAGGUUCGAGGAGAACUUAGUUUAUCACAUGGUGCCAUUUUGUCCUUUGGGCUUGUACAUUAUGCCUUGUCAGAAUUUGAAUUGCUGGCUGAAGAGCUCU
rnacentral:misc_RNA from 1 species